GAUGAACGCUAGCUACAGGCUUAACACAUGCAAGUCGAGGGGCAGCAUGAACUUAGCUUGCUAAGUUUGAUGGCGACCGGCGCACGGGUGAGUAACACGUAUCCAACCUUCCGUUUACUCAGGGAUAGCCUUUCGAAAGAAAGAUUAAUACCUGAUAGUAUGGUGAGAUUGCAUGAUAACACCAUUAAAGAUUUAUUGGUAAACGAUGGGGAUGCGUUCCAUUAGGUAGUAGGCGGGGUAACGGCCCACCUAGCCUGCGAUGGAUAGGGGUUCUGAGAGGAAGGUCCCCCACAUUGGAACUGAGACACGGUCCAAACUCCUACGGGAGGCAGCAGUGAGGAAUAUUGGUCAAUGGGCAGAGCCUGAACCAGCCAAGUAGCGUGAAGGAUGAAGGUCCUACGGAUUG
rnacentral:rRNA from 1 species